rnacentral:rRNA from 1 species
GACGAACGCUGGCGGCGUGCCUAAUACAUGCAAGUCGAACGCAGUGGGGACGGGUGAGUAACACGUGGGUAACCUCCCAUCAGAGGGGAUAACCCUUGGAAACAGGUGCUAAACCGAUACUGAUGGAUGGACCCGCGGUGCAUUAGCUAGUGGGUGGGGUAACGGCUCACCAAGGCCACGAUGCAUAGCCGACCGGAGAGGAUGAACGGCCACACUGGGACUGAGACACGGCCCAGACUCCUACGGGAGGAAGCAGUAGGGAAUCUUCGGCAAUGGACGAAAGUCUGACCGAGCAAUGCCGCGUGAGUGAAGAAGGUUUUCGGAUCGUAAAGCACUGUUGUUAGAGAGGCGGUAUCUAACCAGGAAGCCACGGCUAACUACGUGCCAGCAGCCGCGGUAAUUC